AGGCGGCUGCGUUGCCCUGGUAACUUCACCUGAUGGGGCGGUAUCUAGGGCUUCAUAUCAUAUGCCUCCAAGUUAAUGUCCACAUCUGAAACAUCAACUCCUCUACUGAGUUAACAAAUCAGUGGGUCAUUCUUCAAAGAUGAUGCCCUUUGUUCAAGAAUGAAGGGGGAAGAAGGAGCUCAUGUGUGUGAGGAGGGUGCAAGGAUCUGCGGGAUCCAGACAACACCCUUGUGCCUUGCUAGGAGUAGAGGAGAAGGGCUAGCUAUGCCAAGAGCAGACACCGGGAAAGUACCGCAAUCCCAAAGUGUGUGGAGGCAAUCGCUUUGUUUUGGUCCGGCAGGAAAGAUUAAAAUGAAAAGGUGGAUAAUGCGGAUGAUGAUGGUCUUCGAGCAGGAGGAUGCUCCAGGAGAACUGUCUGCAGGAACGGAAUGGCCUUGUUGCUUUCUCUCUCAGAUAAAAUGUAUAGCACACGGUUAAAAAUGAUAUGGUACACAAGGAAAUAAAAUACAGAGGGAGAGAGAGAGCAGAAGCCGAAGACUGUCCAGACACAUGGCGAUACAGAUGCUGGAACUCUGCCGGGCAGCAACAGAGGGGAUAGUGAGUAAAGGUCAGACAGGAGGAGAGUGAGGCUGAAGGCAUAAAAGCAAAGACAGAGUCAGAGAAGGAGAGAGGACUUUAAAGGAUGGAGGGACACUGCAUUAUCUAGGAUAAGAUUAUUAACAUCAAAUUUUGAUGCAGGUCCACAAAUAUUAUAAUUUCAAGGGUAAUUAUUGAAUGAGUCACAAAUGCUUAUAAUAGAAGGGAAAAUGAAUAAUUGAAAUAAAAGCAAUUAAGUGUGUAGAGAG
rnacentral:lncRNA from 1 species